rnacentral:rRNA from 1 species
UACGUAGGUGGCAAGCGUUAUCCGGAUUUACUGGGCGUAAAGCGUCUGCAGCUGGUUUAAUAAGUCUGUUUUUAAAUACUUUGGCUCAACCAAAGAAAGGGGAUAGAUACUGUUUUUCUGGAGCAUUAUGGAGGUUAGUGGAAUUUCCGGUGGAGCGGUAAAAUGCGUUGAUAUCGGAAGGAACGCCAAAAGCGAAAGCAGCUAACUAUGUAUUUGCUGACAGUCAGAGACGAAAGCUUGGGGAGCAAACGGG